rnacentral:lncRNA from 10 species
CCCUAGUAGCUGGGGCUACAGGCACCUGCCACCAAACCCGGCUAAUUUUUUUGUAUUUUUAGUAGAGACGGGGUUUCACCGUGUUAGCCAGGAUCGUCUUGAUCUCCUGACCUUGUGAUCCACCCGCCUCGGCCUCCCAAAUUGCUGGGAUUACAGAUGUGAGCCACCGCACCUGGUCCAAGAGCCCAAGUUUUAGAUCUAGAGUGAUGUCAGCAUGACAUUGAUUUCCUGAGGCCCAGGGGCGAAGGAGCUGAGGACAGCAGAGGGGUGAAGGAACUCAGCUACAGACAGCAGCAGCUGAUGCACAGGCCUCCCAGCGCCUGAAGUCACCCGGAAUUGGGAAGUGCUCAGAAGCUUACAAAGCUGCCUCGAGCAGAAGAAUCCCAGACUUCUUAGAGAACCCAGUGACUUUUUGCACCUUAAAUCUGUGAAAUCCUCAUGCUUUCUUCUGCCGUAUCCAUCGUUCAAACAAACAUGAGGCAAAGCUAGACACAUUCCUGAAGGAACCCAAGAAAUUCCUCUCUUUCUCUCUCUGGAAUGAAAUGAAUUCUCUAGACCACCAGUUCUAACCUUCAAAAACGAAACCUGUUUGUGAGAUCUCCUUCAAAUACUACUGUAGACCCCAGUGUUUAUUCAUUAAAUUUUUUAAACAUU